rnacentral:rRNA from 1 species
AUUCCAGCUCCAAUAGCGUAUACUAAAGUUGCUGCAGUUAAAAAGCUCGUAGUUGGAUUUCUGGUCGUGGUCGCCGGUCGUGCCCAAACGGGUUCUGUACCUGGCGCCCGCGUCCAUCCUCGGGGAGAGCGUGUCUGGCAUUAAGUUGUCGGGCUCGGGACCCCCGUCAUUUACUGUGAGCAAAAUAGAGUGUUCAAAGCAGGCUUAGGCCAUGAAUACAUUAGCAUGGAAUAAUAAGAUAAGACCUUGGUCUAUUUUGUUGGUUUGCAUUCCAAGGUAAUGAUUAAUAGGGAUAGUUGGGGGUAUUCGUAUUCAAUUGUCAGAGGUGAAAUUCUUGGAUUUAUGGAAGACGAACUACUGCGAAAGCAUUUACCAAGGAUGUUUUCAUCA